AAAAGAUUUGGGUUAUAUUAACCAUUAGAUUUAAGAAGCCCUAAUAAAGUGUACCAAUAUAAAAUGUACUACAAAUAUGCUAAACUAAGGAGAACAAUUGUCAAUUUUGUGAUUUUUCUGAUUGGUCUUUUACAUUGUUUAGAUCGAAGAGUUGGCCAGCACAUUGAACUUUAGUUCUCGUCAGUCGUCUCUGGAGUCACUGGCGAGUUUAGACACCCGUUCGACCAGCAGCAGUGCCCGCAGCAGUCCAGUGCCACCCCAUGGUUCACCCCUGCACACCCGUUUCCGCAUUUCUGCCAAGAAAGCCCUGCUGCUGUGGGUCAGAGAGCAGUGCCAAAAGUGAGGAACAACCUGCUAGAAGGGAUUCUUGGGAACAGUGAGAUUCUGUUCUAUCAAAUUAAUUAUGUUUUUCUGUCUUUUUUAACAGGGCUGGCUGUACUCUGAAUGUAAAGGACUUUAAAGUGAGCUGGAGAAGUGGUGUAGUGUUUCUGGCCAUACUUCAUGCUCUGAGACCGAAUAUAGUGGACCUUACCAGAGCCCGAACAAGAACCAACAGACAGAACCUGGAGGAAGCCUUCCACACUGCUGAAACAGAACUUCACAUCCCCAGACUACUAGAUCCAGCCGGUAAGUGUGUGUUUAUGCUGUGUUGUUUUGUUGUAUAGUAUGCAACAAGCAGUAAUAAUUUUAGUCUUUUGUUUUCUAUGACAUACUCAUAGAAGAAUGGUGUAUUUGUAUUUCAGAUGUUGAUGUUAGGGAUCCUGAUGAAAAGUCUAUUAUGACAUAUGUUGCUCAGUUCCUGCAGUACUCUAAAGAUGCUUCUGUUUCUGAUGAGGAAAUGCAGACUUCAGCCAAUCAGAAGGCUCAGGAGGUCACAUGCUGGUUGGAUCAGGCCUAUCAGGAGCUGAUAGAGGGGUGGGACUCCACUGAAGGAGAGAGCUAUGCUGAGAGAUACCAAGUAAACCUGAAUUCUUAUACACUGAUAUAGUCUUAUUUUAAUGAACACAGUCCAUAAUGCAGAAUGAAACAAGAUGCACAAGUUAUUCUGGGAAAUACAUU
ensembl:lncRNA